rnacentral:lncRNA from 1 species
UAAUAGAAGAAAGAAAGUGUAAAGUCAAGCCAAGCGCAGUGGCUCACGCCUGUAAUCCCAGUACUUUGGGAGGCCAAGGUGGGCGGAUCACUUGAGGUCAGGAGUUCCAGAACAGCCUGACCAGCAUGCUGAAACCCUGACCCUACUAAAAAGACAAUAAUAGCUGGUUGUGGUAAGGCACACCUGUAAUCCUAGCUACUUGGCAGGCUGAGCCAGGAGAAUCCCUUGAACACAGGAGGCAGAGGUUGCAGUCAGCUGAGAUUGUGCCACUGCACUCCAGCCUGGGUGACAGACUGAGACUCCGUCUCAAAACAGAACAAAAAAAGCAAGUAUAAAGUCGAUAACACCUGUACCCCCACCAACCCCAGGCAAGUGCCGUGAACCUUUGGUGGUGUGGACGUUCCCGCCACUGUACUCCUCUCACGCAGUUUUGUAUCUGCUCUCUGCCAGUUUUGUUUCUUUUUUCUUUUUUUUUUUUUUUGGAGACAGAGUUUUGCUCUUGUUGCCCAGGCUGGAGUGCAAUGCUGCCAUCUCGGCUCACUGCAACCUCCGGCUCCCAGGUUCAAGUGAUUCUCCUGCCUCAGCCUCAUGAGUAGCUGGGAUUACAGGCACCUGCCACCACGCCCAGCUAAUUUUUGUAUUUUUAGUAGAGAUGCAGUUUUGCCAUGUUGGCCUGGCUGGUCUCGA